UACGUAGGGGGCAAGCGUUGUCCGGAAUCAUUGGGCGUAAAGAGCGCGUAGGCGGUCCGGUAAGUCCGCUCUGAAAGUCCGGGGCUCAACCCCGGGAGGCGGGCGGAUACUGUCGGGCUAGAGUCCGGAAGAGGCGAGUGGAAUUCCUGGUGUAGCGGUGAAAUGCGCAGAUAUCAGGAGGAACACCCGUGGCGAAAGCGGCUCUCUGGGACGGUACUGACGCUGAGACGCGAAAGCGUGGGGAGCAAACAGG
rnacentral:rRNA from 1 species